CACCGAAGACGCGACAAUCGCUUGUCUCCCUGUCGGGGAUGGGAGUGGUCGAGAUGGUACCGAACACGCCUCCUCUUCCGGGCCAGGUCGACUUCUCAUGGGUUGCGGACGAGCCCUUGGAGGAGGAAUCAGACUUCUGUGACGAGGCCACCAUUGCUUACGCUAUGGUCGAGACCAUAAGCCGGGAGGAUCCACCAAACUGGUAUUGC
rnacentral:lncRNA from 1 species